rnacentral:rRNA from 1 species
AGUCGAGGGGCAGCAUGGUCUUAGCUUGCUAAGGCCGAUGGCGACCGGCGCACGGGUGAGUAACACGUAUCCAACCUGCCGUCUACUCUUGGACAGCCUUCUGAAAGGAAGAUUAAUACAAGAUGGCAUCAUGAGUCCGCAUGUUCACAUGAUUAAAGGUAUUCCGGUAGACGAUGGGGAUGCGUUCCAUUAGAUAGUAGGCGGGGUAACGGCCCACCUAGUCUUCGAUGGAUAGGGGUUCUGAGAGGAAGGUCCCCCACAUUGGAACUGAGACACGGUCCAAACUCCUACGGGAGGCAGCAGUGAGGAAUAUUGGUCAAUGGGCGAGAGCCUGAACCAGCCAAGUAGCGUGAAGGAUGACUGCCCUAUGGGUUGUAAACUUCUUUUAUAAAGGAAUAAAGUCGGGUAUGGAUACCCGUUUGCAUGUACUUUAUGAAUAAGGAUCGGCUAACUCCGUGCCAGCAGCCGCGGUAAUACGGAGGAUCCGAGCGUUAUCCGGAUUUAUUGGGUUUAAAGGGAGCGUAGAUGGAU